rnacentral:lncRNA from 1 species
CCCAGCCAAAGCGCAUGCGCGAGGCGUGCGCCGCUUUUUGCUUCACAGUGCUUCCCACGGUUGUCUUAGGAACCAGUCCCCGAGGCUUGGCAACGCGGGAGCCCUCCGUGGCAGCGCUUGGGUGUCGGGCCUCCGAGGCUCCGGCCUGACCUCUCCACGGGGUCCACAGGAACGUCUCCGGCUGCCAGGAGUCGCAAGGGGCCGAGCAGGAUGAGGAAACCACAGGCGGAGUCCGGGGGAAGCAGCGUGGCAUCCCAGCCUCAGGCCUGCCAGGACGGUGUUCGGGAUCAAGAGGACCACACUCCAGCCCAGGACAAAUGCCCCACGGUAGCACAUUGUCCGGCAGGAGAGGAGCAGACCCACGUCCAAGAAGAUGGUUGUACCUUUCCACGCCUCUUCUCUGCGAAAUGAAGCCACAGAACGACACAAUCUUGAAGAGGAAGCCGUGAAUGGGAGACUGCAACAAUCUGUGUCCCUGGAAUGCUGGCCUCUCUGGACAAGCCACGCACUUCGCACCCCUCCUGUUAUGCCCGUGGCGGUGGCACGGCGCUGUAUCCUACCUGGGCUCUGGCCUCCUCUCUGUCCUCCCUCUUGCUCUGUCUCCCCUGUUUCUGAGCGGCCUAGGUGCCUCUUGGCCUGGCUGAAUAUCUUCUACAAAGAUCACUUCCCAGUCCAUCAGGGACUCUCUUCCUGGAAAUCGGUGUCAUGACUGUUUCUCUCUCCAAACCUGUUUCUGCUGGGUUGGUUAGGUCUGGUGACCCUGGAGCUCUUGUCUUCCAUACGUGUCUCAGCCAGGGAAGCUUCCUCGGUCUCCAUGUUUCACCUCAUUUGUGGGUGGAUUUUCUAGAAUUAGUUGUAGGCGACAGUGACUGGUCUUGUCUUCUAGGACAGGAGAGGUGCCGCAUUUCUUCUGCACUUCCUGUCUCAUCCUUUAGGGACAUGCUGUCCUCUGCUCCUGGGUGUACUGAGUCCCUGAAUCUUUUGGCCCCCUCCUGCAUCCCAGGUGUUCUUUGAUUUUCCUUCGCAUUGAUGGAAAGGUCACUUGUGCCCCGCUUCCGCCGGCCACAUGCCUGGACACCAUUUUUUGUUUCGCCAUCGCCCCAUACGCCCUCGGUGACACACAUUUAUGCCAUCUGCUCUGCGGUACACCAUGCCACGUAUGGUCUCAUUGGCUCCACCUCGGAAUUUCCCCUGUCCCUGUGUUCACGUGUCCUGGAAAGUGGUAUCAGCUUUCAAGUGCACCAGGGCUUUUCUUUUUUCAAAGGAGAAGGGAGGCAUCAGUGAAUUUUCAGCUGACACCUCGCCUUGGGGCCCAUGGGAUCAUUCUGGGAUGCAGCGAGGCCCUGCCUUCCUAGCAGAUGUGGUGAGCCCAUCCUUUCUCACCCGGAGGGGUCCAAAGUCGGAUCUCAAGAGGAGUUCUGGGACCCCAGCAGGCGCCCAGAAGCUCCACCUCCACCCCGGAAGUCGGCUUAAGGAGGUCCUCAAGACCGGACUCCUGGGGGUUUGGCCUUGGGACGCCUGUGGCCUCCUCUCCCACGCUGCCCCGUACUGGACCCCUGAUCCAGCCACCGCCAGGGCUGCAAUGCGAGCCGCCCUUCCUCUGCGUAGCCGCUAUUGUUUAAAGGGGUCGCAGCCUGACUGCCAGGAGCGGAGUGCGACUCGGCCCCUCCAAUGCGCAUGCGCAAGGCCCUGGCGCAUGCUCCAGUCACAGUUAUUCCCACGGUUGUCUUAGAAACCCGUCCCUGAGGCUUGGCAAAGUAGGAGCCCUCCGUGGCAGUGCUUGGGUGUCGGGGCUCCGAGGCUCCGGCCUGACCUCUCCACGGGGUCGACAGGAACAUCUCUGGCUGCCAGGAGUCGCAAAGGGCCGACCAGGAUGACGAAACCACAGGCGAAGUCCGGGGGAAGCGGCAUGGCAUGCCAGCCUCAGGCCUGCCAGGACGGUGUUCGGGGGUGGAGCCAACCAAAGUCAAAGAAGAUUGUUGUAUCUUUUCACAGCUCUUCUCUGAGAACGAAGCCACACAACGAUAGAAUCUUGAAGAAGAAGCUAGGAAUGGGAGAUGGCAACAAUCCCUGUCACUGGAACACUGGUCUCUCUGGACAAGUCACCAGUUUGGCACCCCUCCCCUUAUGCCUGUACCGAUGGCAUGGUGCUAUAUCCUGCCUGGGCUCUGGCCUCUGCUCUGUCCUCCCUCUUGCUCUGUCUCCCCUGUUUCUGAGGGGCCUUGAUGUUUCUUGAUCUGUCUGAAUGUCUUCAACAAAGACCACUUCCCAGUCCUCCAGGGCGACACUUCCUGGAGAUCCGUGUCAUGAUUGUUUCUCCCUCCAAACCUGUUUCUGCUUGAUUAGCCAGGGUUGAUGAUCCUGGGGCUCUUGGCUUCCAUACGUAUCUCAGACAGGGAAGCUAGCUUGGUCUCCAUGUUUCACCUCAUGGGUGAGUGGAUUGCCUAGAAUGAGCAGUAGGUGACUGUGACUGGCCUUGUCUUCUAGGGCAGGGACAUGUCGCAUUUCCUCUGCACUUCCUGUCUCAUUCUUGAGAAACAUCCUCCCCUCUGCUCAUGGGUGGACUGACUCCUUGAAUCUUUUGGCUGUAAUGAAAGUCAGGGAUCCAAUGGGACUGGGCUGGGGCUGGAGCUGGAUGCAGGGGAGGUUCUGUCAGGGCUACCUGGGCAUUGGAGGAUUGGGGGUGGAUUGAACUUUGCAUAAACCUCUUUACUCCUCCAGCAGGCUUUUCAAAAUGUGGCUUGGACUCAUGCAAUAAGAAAUUUACCGGUUGAAAGGGCCCCUUUUUCAAUGGCACUCUGGGUAACAUCGCUUCAGCACAAUCAUAUGGUAGAGAAGCCUUAUCAAAUUUGCUGUCCCUCAGGGCUCUUAAAGAUGCUUGAUAAAUUAUUAGGGAAAUAAGAAACAAAUUGAAAGGAAAAGGAAAUCCAAGGACCUGCCCCAGAAGAAUCAUAGAUAUGUUUGAAUACUUAUUCAUUAUUUGCCCCAGAUAGAAAAUGUUUGUUAAUCAAAAGGCAAAAGUUAUAAUGAGGAAGAUAAUAUUGCCUGGGGCAAUGUUGAGACAAAUAAGGUGAAGAUCAACCAAACGCCCUG